AAAAUCCGGGAUCACUUACGCCGAGCACCGAGACGAGUCCUAUGAGGACGAAGUGACUGACACCACGCUUCCAGGAAAAGCCACUAAGCUUCAGCUUAAGAAAAACCGUACCGCAAACCGACACAGGUAGGCAGGGUGAGAAUCCCAAGGCGCUUGAGAGAACUCGGGUGAAGGAACUAGGCAAAAUGGCACCGUAACUUCGGGAGAAGGUGCGCCCUUUGGUGUGGUCACGUGCGUGACUGAGCAUCGAAGGGUCGCAGUAACCUGGCCGCUGCGACUGUUUAUCAAAAACACAGCACUCUGCAAACACGAAAGUGGACGUAUAGGGUGUGACGCCUGCCCGGUGCUGGAAGGUUAAUUGAUGGGGUCAGCCGCAAGGCGAAGCUCUUGAUCGAAGCCCCAGUAAACGGCGGCCGUAACGAUAACGGUCCUAAGGUAGCGAAAUUCCUUGUCGGGUAAGUUCCGACCUGCACGAAUGGCGUAACGACAGCGGCGCUGUCUCCACCCGAGACUCAGUGAAAUUGAAAUCGCUGUGAAGAUGCAGCGUUCCCGCGGCAAGACGGAAAGACCCCGUGAACCUUUACUAUAGCUUUACACUGAACGUUGAGUUCUUCUGUGUAGGAUAGGUGGGAGGCUAUGAAACCAGGACGCUAGUUCUGGUGGAGCCAUCCUUGAAAUACCACCCUGAAGUGCUUGACGUUCUAACCUAGGCCCGUAAUCCGGGUCAGGGACCGUGUAUGGUGGGUAGUUUGACUGGGGCGGUCUCCUCCCAAAGAGUAACGGCAGCACGAAGGUACGCUCAGCGCGGUCGGACAUCGCGCACUGUGCAAAGGCAUAAGCGUGCUUGACUGCGAGAUCGACGGAUCAAGCAGGUACGAAAGUAGGUCUUAGUGAUCCGGUGGUUCUGUAUGGAAGGGCCAUCGCUCAACGGAUAAAAGGUACUCCGGGGAUAACAGGCUGAUACCGCCCAAGAGUUCAUAUCGACGGCGGUGUUUGGCACCUCGAUGUCGGCUCAUCACAUCCUGGGGCUGUAGCCGGUCCCAAGGGUAUGGCUGUUCGCCAUUUAAAGUGGUACGCGAGCUGGGUUCAGAACGUCGUGAGACAGUUCGGUCCCUAUCUGUCGUGGGCGUUGGAGAUUUGAGGGGGGCUGCUCCUAGUACGAGAGGACCGGAGUGGACGUUCCGCUGGUGUUCGGGUUGUCAUGCCCAUGGCAUUGCCCGGUAGCUACGAACGGAAGUGAUAACCGCUGAAAGCAUCUAAGCGGGAAGCACGCCCCAAGAUGAGAUCUCCCGAGAGCUUGACUCUCCUAAAGGCACCAUCAAGACUAGGUGGUUGAUAGGUCAGGUGUGGAAGCGCAGCAAUGCGUUGAGCUAACUGAUACUAAUGAGCCGUGAGGCUUGAUCAA
rnacentral:rRNA from 1 species